rnacentral:rRNA from 1 species
AUUGAACGCUGGCGGAAUGCUUUACACAUGCAAGUCGAACGGCAGCACGGACUUCGGUCUGGUGGCGAGUGGCGAACGGGUAAGUAAUACAUCGGAACGUGCCCAGUCGUGGGGGAUAACGUAGCGAGAGUUACGCUAAUACCGCAUACGAUCUACGGAUGAAAGCGGGGGACCGUAAGGCCUCGCGCGAUUGGAGCGGCCGAUGUCAGAUUAGGUAGUUGGCGAGGUAAAGGCUCACCAGGCCGACGAUCUGUAGCUGGUCUGAGAGGACGACCAGCCACACUGGACUGAGACACGGCCCAGACUCCUACGGGAGGCAGCAGUGGGGAAUUUUGGACAAUGGGCGCAAGCCUGAUCCAGCCAUUCCGCGUGCAGGACGAAGGCCUUCGGGUCGUAAACUGCUUUUGUACGGAACGAAAAGGCUCUGGUUAAUACCUGGGGCUCAUGACGGUACCGUAAGAAUAAGCACCGGCUAACUACGUGCCAGCCGCCGCCGUAA